CCCCAUCCGACCCGUCUUGAAACACGGACCAAGGAGUCUAACAUGUUCGCGAGUAUCUGAGUGGCAAACUCAUAUGCGCAAUGAAAGUAACAGUGGUAGGACCUUCUGGGGCACUAUCCGCCGGCAUUGAUCCUUCGGGAGAAAGGUCUGAGUGUGAGCAUACAUGUUGGGACCCGAAAGAUGGUGAACUAUGCCUGAAUAGGGUGAAGCCAGAGGAAACUCUGGUGGAGGCCCGCAGCGGUUCUGACGUGCAAAUCGAUCGUCAAAUAUGGGCAUGGGGGCGAAAGACUAAUCGAACCUUCUAGUAGCUGGUUUCCGCCGAAGUUUCCCUCAG
rnacentral:rRNA from 13 species